GGGUCAGUAGGUUGGUCGUGCCACCGGUACGUACUGGUCUCACUGAUUCCUCCUUCCUGAAGAACCGUAAUGCCAUUAAUGUGGUGUUGCGGGGAAACAGGACUGUUACUUUGAAAAAAUUAGAGUGUUUAACGCAAGCUAACGCUUGAAUACAUUAGCAUGGAAUAAUGGAAUAGGACGAUCGAUCCUAUUUUGUUGGUUUCUAGGAUUGACGUA
rnacentral:rRNA from 1 species